GGUACAACUGGACGAUUUUUUAACGUCGGUGAUAAAAAAAGAGCCUGCUGGGGGCGCAGCUCAAGAUGCUCUAAAGAGUAGCAUAUUCAUUUUCGGAUAGACAGUCUUAAACUUUUAUGUAUCUGUGGGACAGAGAAGGAUCACCAGCAAAUAGCACACUACAAGGAGCUGUAUGAGAAUUGUUGAUGUUCUUUUUAUUUUCGUUCCAAGGCAGCGGUGUGCAAAUUAAAUUGUACUGUACGUACUAAAUAUAUGAUGUAAAGGUCACACGCUCACAGCGUCAGAGAGUAAUUUUUGCAACACAAGCCACGUGAAGCUGAUCCUGGGACAACUUUGUUUGCACGCCUCACCAACCAACAGUGCUUAGGCAAGUAAUGUUAGCAUGUGAAGCCACGGAGGUGACACCAACAAAACCAUCCAGAAUCUAUUCAAAUGCAGGGCCAUAGUAUCUUAGGCAAGUAAUGUUAGCAUGUGAAGCCACGGAGGUGACACCAACAAAACCAUCCAGAAUCUAUUCAAAUGCAGGGCCAUAGUAUCUCCUCAACAUGUCAUGUGCACCCCUUUGCAACCAUCAUUUGGACAAAAUAUUCAACGGAAA
rnacentral:lncRNA from 1 species